rnacentral:lncRNA from 1 species
GCCCCGCCUCCGGGGGUUCCCCCGCCGCCGUAGUGGUUGACGAAGAUGAGGCCGGUGAAGAGCAGCACCACCAUGGAGAGGAAGGAGAAGACCACGCACACGCAGCCAGCGUUUCUCUGCAGAAGACAGCAAGAUGCCCCAGGGAAUGUUUGUGAAAAAGGAUGACUGGAUGGGAAGCAAGCUGAAGAAAAAGAAGGAAAGAAAGAGAGAAAUCAGUAAAUCACCACACAAGAGGUGGAGAAGAGGACUUAUAAAUAUUGUUUCUAUGACAUUUGAAAAUAAAUGUUUUACUCCAUGCUAAUAGUGAAUGUGAUGUCUUCAGUUUGAAGGGCUUUAAGUGAAGCUCAUUAAAACCCACUAUUUUCCAU